GCCUAAAAUCAGAGCAGGAAUGUCAUGACGUCAUCACAGGCGGAGGCAGUCACAAAGGACAUUGCAAGAUUUUGACCGCAUCGUUGUUUUUGUUGAUUACACGAUCAGAAACAUUUUCAGAUAGUUACUAGCUGUCCGAGGAAAUAGGAAGUUUUCCAUUAGACCAAACCAUCUUCUUUCUUAGAAGAAAAAACUUGUAGCCGUGGUCUCCAAGUGCCACCCUACUGUGUCAUUUUAUGCAAAAUGAACAAAAGCAGGAACCCAAACUUUCAUACUCCAGAGUGUGUUGAAAUAAUAAAGGAAUACCAAGAAUGCAGGGAAAAUUUUAUUGUUGGACACUUAACUGGUGCCUGUCAGAGGCUACAGAGGAAAAUGGUCAGGUGUUUUGAAAAAGAGACCAUAGAAAAAAGGAAGGCCAGAGCACAAAAAUCACAAGAAAUUGCGGAGAAAGUUCGUUUACAGUAUAUAAGGGAGGGGAAGGAUCCGAAUGGACCUAAAGCAGUUGUCCCUUGGAAAAUAAAAGAUCAGCAGGAGGCCUUUCUUGGAGACAAGAUACAUGGUUCAAAUAAUAAUGACAAGAACAGCACUGUGUCAUAGAUGGUCUCAUUGAAACAUUUUUAUGAUUCAACAUGUUUGCAAGUUGUUGUCAUUGAGCAGACUGUGCUGCCAGUCAUGCAAUGCGUCCUAUAAACGGGCUUCAGAUUUGUGUGCACAAAGGCUCAAAUUCAUGAUUCAAGCCACAAAUUAAGUACCCCAAUGUAAAAUUAGUUGCCACAAGCCCAGUGUUAGAUAACAUGAACUGAUUAUUUGCUCAUUCACCUGUUCGGUACAUUUCCAAUGAGCCGUAGACUGUCAAGAUGCAUUGCUGCCUUAUUAACAUACAGUAUGGUUGAUAAAAAGAACCUUGAGGGAGCCUAUGUAUACAGCCAGAGACCUGGAUGGAAGCUGGCCAAAUUGUUUGAUAUCAAAAGCUGGGUUUGUGGAAACCGAUUUUACGUUAGGGUACAUAAUUUGUGGCUGGUGUCAUUAAUUUGUGCAUUUGUGCUCCCAAAUCUAAGGCUCACGUUAGCACAUGGCAAUUAUUGCUUAUGAGACCUGAACUUGGUACAACAAAAAUUUUUUUUUGUCUGUAAGUGUCAAUAUUUUCCCUUAAUCACCAUGAUAAACCAGCAUAUCUCAAGUUCUCUGUUUCAGGUUCAAAGUUGGCAAAACUAAGAAUCAUUCACCAGUUUUGAAAUUUUAGUCAUGUGAUUGAGGUGGAGGCUGGUGAAUUUUACUCAUAAUAGAAAUGUUAGAAAUUAACAUCUAAAAUGUUUGUGGAUUGUGGCUGUUUAAAAGGUAUAAAAAUAUUGUGUACCUUGAUGAGAAAGGGAAUAUUACUGAAAAUUUCAGGAUUUAUUUGCUAAUAUAAUGGCCUAAAGCCCAUUGUUAGCCUUUUUUUUAGGUAAAUCCAGUUUUACCAGCACUGAGUGGAAUGAUCUUUGAAAAGUUCUAUCAUGUGGUAGAGCUCAAAGAAUUAUAGCAGACGUUGAAAUUACUGGUAUUUAAAGAAAAGAAAAGAAAAAUUGCUGAAUAAAACUUGUGUGUGUUA
rnacentral:misc_RNA from 1 species